AACCUUAUUUCCCCCAGUUUUACUGAGUAUAACUCCAAACAAGUAUUUGAAAGAGACAAUUUUUAUUUAUACAUGUCACAUAGAUAACUGAUGUGGUUUUGAUAUUACUGUUAUUUUUUGUGCUGGACUAGUCAGACAUGGAACUUAGCAAUUACGGCCUGUAAGGUCUUCAGCUGGCUGUGUGAUACACAAAUAUAGAUACAUGUGUAUUCAUUUUCUUGCUAAAAAGUUUCCAUGCCAUCUUGAUGUUACAGGUUGAGGGAGGUC
rnacentral:lncRNA from 1 species